GCUUGUGUUGAUCCUCGUAGAACUUUCUGGGUUAUCCUACUGUCCAGCUCUUGCCAUGCAGGGGGUUAUUAAUUGAAUCCCUCGGAUUCCUGGCUGUGUGGAAUGGUGCCCAUCCAUGAGAGGAUAGCUGCUGAAGAUGCUCCUGUCUUUUCAGACAAACCGAAGCAAUAUAUCUGGCUAGUCAUGGAGGCAGCAGACAUGUGAUGGCUUUGGUUUCUGCCUUCUCACUGGCUCCUGAGAAAGUUCCAUCUCCUGUGAAUUUUCUGGGCUCAGAGGACCUGUGUACGUGAACCAUGGAAAGGAAGAAGGAAAAGUGACAUAAACAAAAAUGACAAUUUGUCUUGUCUUGAACUAGACUGGGGAAACUGUAUAUACACAUAUAUGUGGAUGACUGGAAGCCUGCCUAAUGCCAGAAGUUUGGCUAUGAUGCUCAAAACCAGAAUUUUCAGAGUGUUUUGCUAUCCGUGAACAUGUUAGAAGAAAAUUUUUGAAACUGUGAGUAUGUUGAAUACACGAAGGGAGAUUUAAGUAUUUAUUAUGUGAUUAAAAAAACUUUAUGCCACAGUAAAUGUUUUAUUAGGACUUCAUGAUUUUAUUCCAAUUCUCCGA